rnacentral:rRNA from 1 species
UUCUAACGUUGGCCCCUGACCGGGGUUGCGGACAGUGUCUGGUGGGUAGUUUGACUGGGGCGGUCUCCUCCCAAAGCGUAACGGAGGAGCACGAAGGUUAGCUAAUCCUGGUCGGACAUCAGGAGGUUAGUGCAAUGGCAUAAGCUAGCUUGACUGCGAGCGUGACGGCGCGAGCAGGUGCGAAAGCAGGUCAUAGUGAUCCGGUGGUUCUGAAUGGAAGGGCCAUCGCUCAACGGAUAAAAGGUACUCCGGGGAUAACAGGCUGAUAC